AGUGGCGGACGGGUGAGUAACGCGUGGAGAACCUGCCGUAUACUGGGGGAUAACACUUAGAAAUAGGUGCUAAUACCGCAUAAGCGCACAGCUUCGCAUGAAGCAGUGUGAAAAACUCCGGUGGUAUACGAUGGAUCCGCGUCUGAUUAGCUUGUUGGCGGGGUAAAGGCCCACCAAGGCGACGAUCAGUAGCCGGCCUGAGAGGGUGAACGGCCACAUUGGGACUGAGACACGGCCCAAACUCCUACGGGAGGCAGCAGUGGGGAAUAUUGCACAAUGGGGGAAACCCUGAUGCAGCGACGCCGCGUGAGUGAAGAAGUAUUUCGGUACGUAAAGCUCUAUCAGCAGGGAAGAAAAUGACGGUACCUGACUAAGAAGCCCCGGCUAACUACGUGCCAGCAGCCGCGGUAAUACGUAGGGGGCAAGCGUUAUCCGGAUUUACUGGGUGUAAAGGGAGCGUAGACGGCAGCGCAAGUCUGGAGUGAAAUCCCAUGGCUUAACCAUGGAACUGCUUUGGAAACUGUGCAGCUGGAGUGCAGGAGAGGUAAGCGGAAUUCCUAGUGUAGCGGUGAAAUGCGUAGAUAUUAGGAGGAACACCAGUGGCGAAGGCGGCUUACUGGACUGUAACUGACGUUGAGGCUCGAAAGCGUGGGGAGCAAACAGGAUUAGAUACCCUGGUA
rnacentral:rRNA from 1 species